CAGUCGCCACGGUAAUACAGAGGGUGCGAGCGUUAAUCGGAUUUACUGGGCGUAAAGCGUGCGUAGGCGGCUUUUUAAGUCGGAUGUGAAAUCCCUGAGCUUAACUUAGGAAUUGCAUUCGAUACUGGGAAGCUAGAGUAUGGGAGAGGAUGGUAGAAUUCCAGGUGUAGCGGUGAAAUGCGUAGAGAUCUGGAGGAAUACCGAUGGCGAAGGCAGCCAUCUGGCCUAAUACUGACGCUGAGGUACGAAAGCAUUGGGAGCAAACAGGAUUAGAUACCCGGGUAGUCCCUGUCUCUUAUAC
rnacentral:rRNA from 1 species